GCUGGGCAUGGUGGUGCACACCUGUAGUCCCAGCUACUUGGGAGGCUGAGGAGGGAGGAUUCCUUGAGCCCAGGAGUUCAAGGCUGUAGUGAGCUAUGAUCACACCACUGUACUCCAGCCUGGGCAACAGAGCAAGAUCCUGCCUCUA
rnacentral:SRP_RNA from 1 species